rnacentral:rRNA from 1 species
GAUGAACGCUGGCGGCGUGCCUAAUACAUGCAAUUCGAGCGAACAGACGAGGAGCUUGCUCCUCUGACGUUAGCGGCGGACGGGUGAGUAACACGUUGAUAACCUACCUAUAAGACUGGGAUAACUUCGGGAAACCGGAGCUAAUACCGGAUAAUAUAUUGAACCGCAUGGUUCAAUAGUGAAAGACGGUUUUGCUGUCACUUAUAGAUGGAUCCGCGCCGCAUUAGCUAGUUGGUAAGGUAACGGCUUACCAAGGCAACGAUGCGUAGCCGACCUGAGAGGGUGAUCGGCCACACUGGAACUGAGACACGGUCCAGACUCCUACGAGAGGCAGCAGUAGGGAAUCUUCCGCAAUGGGCGAAAGCCUGACGGAGCAACGCCGCGUGAGUGAUGAAGGGCUUCGGAUCGUAAAACUCUGUUAUUAGGGAAGAACAAAUGUGUAAGUAACUAUGCACGUCUUGACGGUACCUAAUCAGAAAGCCACGGCUAACUACGUG